CGGGCUUGAAAUGUGACCGACGACCCCGAGAGACCGGGGUUUCCUUCGGGCGGUCAUGUAGGUGCUGCAUGGUUGUCGUCAGCUCGUGCCGUGAGGUGUCGGCUUAAGUGCCAUAACGAGCGCAACCCCUUCCGCCGGUUACCAUCGGGUCAUGCCGGGGACUCCGGCGGCACUGCCGCCGCAAGGCGCGAGGAAGGCGGGGAUGACGUCAAAUCAGCACGGCCCUUACGUCCGGGGCCACACACGUGUUACAAUGGGGGGCACAGCGAGCUGGGGGAUGGCGACAUUCCCCGAAUCACGAAAUCCCCUCCCAGUUCGGACCGGAGUCUGCAACCCGACUCCGCGAAGCCGGAUUCGCUAGUAAUCGCGCAUCAGCCAUGGCGCGGUGAAUACGUUCCCGGGCC
rnacentral:rRNA from 1 species